UUGAGCCGGAUGAAUAGAAACUAUUCACGUCCGGUUCUGAGGGGGCCCCGGCGCAGCAAUGCGCCAGGGCUACCCGAC
rnacentral:ncRNA from 1 species